rnacentral:lncRNA from 1 species
AGAUUUCUGAGUUCGAGGCCAGCCUGGUCUACAAAGUGAGUUCCAGGACAGCCAGGGCUAUACAGAGAAACCCUGUCUCGAAAAACCAAAAAAAAAAAAAAAAAAAAGGCUGAGUCAGCACAGGGAUCCCGUUAAGAUCAAGGCUAGCCUGGACUGCACUGUAAAACCAUCUCACAGAUGGUGAAUAUGGCUCAGUGGCAUGAGCCCUGGAGCCAGCCAGGUACGGGGUGUUAGCUUAAUCUAAAUUGGCAUGGGGGGUCUGAGAUAGGAGAACUGCCUUCAAUUCCAGGCCAGCCCAAGCUACAUGGUGAAAGCCUGCCUGGCUUGUUUGAUCCUGGGGCAGGAUGGAGGUGAUGCUGUGCUCCGCUGCAAGGUGCUGGAUUAUGAGGGCCUUUUACUGUCUCCAGUAUUAGCACUAGAACGAAGGCUCAGCAGGUUUAGGCACUUGCUGCCGAGCGUGACAGCCUGAAUUCAUGUCCCCAAAACCCACAUGGUGGAAGGAGAGAGCCAUCAUGUGCUGUAGCAUGUCUGUGUCCUCAGACAUACGUACCAAAAUAAAAUAAUUUUCU